rnacentral:rRNA from 1 species
GACGAACGCUGGCGGCAUGCUUAACACAUGCAAGUCGAACGGAAAGGCCCUGCUUUUGUGGGGUGCUCGAGUGGCGAACGGGUGAGUAACACGUGAGUAACCUGCCCUUGACUUUGGGAUAACUUCAGGAAACUGGGGCUAAUACCGGAUAGGAGCUCCUGCUGCAUGGUGGGGGUUGGAAAGUUUCGGCGGUUGGGGAUGGACUCGCGGCUUAUCAGCUUGUUGGUGGGGUAGUGGCUUACCAAGGCUUUGACGGGUAGCCGGCCUGAGGGGGUGACCGGCCACAUUGGGACUGAGAUACGGCCCAGACUCCUACGGGAGGCAGCAGUGGGGAAUAUUGCACAAUGGGCGGAAGCCUGAUGCAGCAACGCCGCGUGCGGGAUGACGGCCUUCGGGUUGUAAACCGCUUUCGCCUGUGACGAAGCGUGAGUGACGGUAAUGGGUAAAGAAGCACCGGCUAACUACGUG